UACGAAGGGGGCUAGCGUUGUUCGGAAUUACUGGGCAGUAAAGCGCGCGCAGGCGGUCUUCCAAGUCAGUGGUGAAAGCCCGGAGCUCAACUCCGGAACUGCCAUUGAAACUGUUAGACUUGAGGAUGAGAGAGGUGAGUGGAAUUCCCAGUGUAGAGGUGAAAUUCGUAGAUAUUGGGAAGAACACCGGUGGCGAAGGCGGCGACCUGGUCCUUGACUGACGCUGGAGGCGCGAAAGCGUGGGGGAGCAAACAGG
rnacentral:rRNA from 1 species